rnacentral:lncRNA from 1 species
GGGACAGACACAGGGACAGAUGGACACACGGACACAGGGACACAUGGACAGACACAGGGACACACGGACACACAGACGCACGGACACACACACGGGCACAGGGACACAGGGACAGACACACGGACAGACACAGGGACACACGGACACACGGACACACACACGGACACAGGGACACAGGGACAGACACAGGGACAGAUGGACACACGGACACAGGGACACAUGGACAGACACAGGGACACACGGACGCACGGACACAGGGACACAGGGACAGACACAGGGACACACGGACACGUGGACAGACACAGGGACACACGGAUGGACACAAGGACAGACACACAGACACAAGGACAGAUGGACACACAGAUACAAGGACAGACGGACAGACGCAGGGACAGACGGACAGACGGACAGACACAGGGACAGACAGACAGACGGACAGACGGACGCAGGCCCAGCCGUGUCCCCGUCCCUGCCCCAGGUGCUCCGUUCACCCCACGCCUGCAUCAAACCCAUCAUCGGCGUCUUCCAGCUUGACAUCGGCACCGUCUACUCUGCCCCGGGUGAGGAGAGGGUUGGGGUGACACUGGGUGACACUGGGUGACACAUUCUGGGUGACACAUUCGGGGUGACACUGGGUGACAUUGGGUGGCACAUUCGGGGUGACACAUUCAGGGUGACACAUUCGGGGUGACAUAUUCAGGGUGACACAAUUUUGGGGUUCCAAACACGAAAUUUGGGGUUCCGGAUACGGAUUUUGGGGUUCUGAGAUGGGAAAUUUGGGGUUCCGAGAUGAGAAAUUUGGGGGUCCGGACACGGAAUUUUGGGGUUGGGAAUUUUGGGGUUCCUGGCCGGGAAUUUGGGGUUCGGGGCCGGGAAUUUGGGGUUCUGGAUAUGAAAUUUGGGGUUCCUGUCCCGGAAUUUGGGGUUCUGUGCUGGGAAUUUGGGGUUCGGGGCCGGGAAUUUGGGGUUCUGUGCUGGGAAUUUGGGGUUCCUGUCCCGGAAUUUGGGGUUCCUGGCCGGGAAUUCGGGGUGCCAGCGGUGUCCCCGCGGUGUCCCCAAGGCCGCAGCCUGAGCUGGAAGUGGCUGAGCCUUCAGCACCCCCAACACCGCGACGGCCGCUCCCAGGGGUUCCUCCAGCUCAGCCUCCGCGUGCGCCGCGCCGGGGAGAGCGCCCCGGUGAGCCCCCCGCCAUCGCCCGCACCCCAAAAACCCCAGCUGGGGUCUGUCACCCCAAACACCCCAGCUGGGGUCAGUCACCCCAAAAAACCCCAGCUGGGCUCUGUCACCCCCCUACCCGGGAUCUGUCACCCCAAACACCCCAACCGGGCUCUGUCAC